UGCCAGCCGCCGCGGUAAUACGGAGGGUGCAAGCGUUGUUCGGAAUUAUUGGGCGUAAAGCGCGUGUAGGCGGUUCGUUAAGUCUGAUGUGAAAGCCCGGGGCUCAACCCCGGAAGUGCAUUGGAAACUGGCGAACUUGAGUACGGGAGAGGAAAGUGGAAUUCCGAGUGUAGGGGUGAAAUGCGUAGAUAUCUGGGAGAAGGCCAAAGGCGAAGGCAGCUUUCUGGUGAGUGACUGACGCUGAGAGACGAAAGCUAGGGUAGCGAACGGGAUUAGAUA
rnacentral:rRNA from 1 species